CGGGGUGAGUAAUGUCUGGGAAACUGCCUGAUGGAGGGGGAUAACUGCUGGAAACGGUAGCUAAUACCGCAUAACGUCGCAAGACCAAAGAGGGGGGCCUUCGGGCCUCUUGCCAUCGGAUGUGCCCAGAUGGGAUUAGCUAUAGGUGGGGUAACGGCUCACCUAGGCGACGAUCCCUAGCUGGUCUGAGAGGAUGCCAGCCACACUGGAACUGAGACACGGUCCAG
rnacentral:rRNA from 1 species